UGGGAAUAUUGGACAAUGGGCGCAAGCCUGAUCCAGCCAUGCCGCGUGUGUGAAGAAGGCCUUUUGGUUGUAAAGCACUUUAAGCGAGGAGGAGGCUACUUGGAUUAAUACUCUAGGAUAGUGGACGUUACUCGCAGAAUAAGCACCGGCUAACUCUGUGCCAGCAGCCGCGGUAAUACAGAGGGUGCGAGCGUUAAUCGGAUUUACUGGGCGUAAAGCGUGCGUAGGCGGCUUUUUAAGUCGGAUGUGAAAUCCCUGAGCUUAACUUAGGAAUUGCAUUCGAUACUGGGAAGCUAGAGUAUGGGAGAGGAUGGUAGAAUUCCAGGUGUAGCGGUGAAAUGCGUAGAGAUCUGGAGGAAUACCGAUGGCGAAGGCAGCCAUCUGGCCUAAUACUGACGCUGAGGUACGAAAGCAUGGGGAGCAAACAGGAUUAGAUACCCUGGUAGUCCAUGCCGUAAACGAUGUCUACUAGCCGUUGGGGCCUUUGAGGCUUUAGUGGCGCAGCUAACGCGAUAAGUAGACCGCCUGGGGAGUACGGUCGCAAGACU
rnacentral:rRNA from 1 species